AGUGAACGCUGGCGGUAGGCCUAACACAUGCAAGUCGAACGGCAGCACAGUAAGAGCUUGCUCUUACGGGUGGCGAGUGGCGGACGGGUGAGGAAUACAUCGGAAUCUACUUUUUCGUGGGGGAUAACGUAGGGAAACUUACGCUAAUACCGCAUACGACCUACGGGUUAAAGCAGUGGAUCUUCGGACCUUGCGCGAUUGAAUUAGCCGAUGCCGGAUUAGCUAGUUGGCGGGGUAACGGCCCACCAAGGCGACGAUCCGUAGCUGGUCUGAGAGGAUGAUCAGCCACACUGGAACUGAGACACGGUCCAGACUCCUACGGGAGGCAGCAGUGGGGAAUAUUGGACAAUGGGCGCAAGCCUGAUCCAGCCAUACCGCGUGGGUGAAGAAGGCCUUCGGGUUGUAAAGCCCUUUUGUUGGGAAAGAAAAGCAGCAGGUUAAUACCCCGCUGUUCUGACGGUACCCAAAGAAUAAGCACCGGCUAACUUCGUG
rnacentral:rRNA from 1 species